UAGAAUAAAGCUCGCUGGAUAGAGUGUUUAGCUGUUAACUAAAAUUUUACGGGAUCAAGGCCUGUUGUUCUAG
rnacentral:tRNA from 1 species